GCCUUCAUAGGUGCUCGCUAACAGCACUUGCCCCAGCAGUCUGUUUAGGCUAUACGGGGGUGUUUGUUUGUCUUUGUUUGAACUGCUCGUGUGUAUGUGCGCGCAAUCCCUCGGGCGUCGGUGAAAUGAGUAUCAUCCUUCGGGCGUCGGUAAAAUGAGUAUCAACAAUUUAGUUUGAGGUCAGUCGAGAGAACAAAGUGGUCACUUUGUCACGCGCCGCCGUCGCCACCGUACCGUACGGGGCACUCGUUCGCUCUCGUAGAGAGACGACGAAGCACAGACGGAGGGGGGGUGAAGGAAACAUCAGCCACGUGGCGAAGAGCCCUGUAAGCCGUUCGGCUCUUGACUCGGGUGCAACCGCAACAAACAAAAACAUGAACAGGAAAACAUCUUAAAGUGUCUACGCGCAACAGAAAAAUCCAGGAAAAAACAGCAAAGUCUUCCAUAAAAAAGCACCGCAUAUCAACGCUGUGUGCAAAAAUCCCAGUGGGAUGCAAGUCAAACAAUAACAACCAUAAGACAAUUUAGAUUAAAGUUAUCCGUCUAACUCUGUACAACAACAAACACAUGGCUAAUCCAAAACGUUUUCGUGUGUUCAGACGUUGUCACCCAAGCGAGUGUGUGUUGUGUACGCGCGGGAGGGAAAACCCGGAGAUCCCGGAGCAAAGCCCACGCCUGCGAAGGGGAACAACACUCGACUCCGUACAGAUGGAACGGGGCGGAGUGCACGCUUGCUGUCCCGCGCGUCUUCUGGCGAGGCAGAGUUACGGCUCACUGACGCCUUCCUGGGAGGGUUGUUUCAUAACAUUUGUGUGAUCCACCCAACUCUCUCCACCACGGUGUUGGGUUACAGGCGUGCAUAGCCACCGUCGCCCGCGAACAAAAAAAACGCUGGCCAUGUGAGAUCGACAGUACCACGGAAUGGUUCACUGCCUCGAAACAGUAAGGCAGUUCGUCAACAUUGGUUAAAUCAGAAUGUUAAUUUAUCCUGGAGAAAUCCGUUAAGCUGUGAAGCGCUUUUUCACAGAUGUCCAGUCGGGGCGUAUCAGAAACUUACAAAAACAAUCAAUACAAAAAAACGAUCGGAGUGCAAAGUAUAGAGAACGUAAGCAAAUCCCUAAAAAAUAAAUAAAUGAACUACACUUUUUUCUUUUACCACGUAAAGCCCACAGCUAUUAUUUUUCAGAAGCGUCCUGGCCACAAAUCAUAGCUCAACGAUGUGACUUAUCGUGUGGAAAUCUAUAGCCGAUUAGACAAUGGGUGUCGAAACUGGUCCAGGGUCUGCUUGUGUUAAACCAAUGCUGCUGAACGGAUGGACUUACAGAAGGCCGUGUGGCCGCUGGGAUGUAAAAAAUACAUAUCAAAUGUACACAUCCCGUCAGCCACACAUCCAAAAUAUGGGAACGAAGCGUCUGCGUAUACAUUCUAGAGGCGGAGGAGACUGUUUUUGUCAUGCCCCCAUGAUUGCUUAGUUGUCAUGAUAUUAAUAAUCACGUUUGAAAUACAGAAACACCGAGACGCGGAGACGCCCUCUUCUCAACGGGCGCGACCUAAACCACAAUGACUUCUGCCAGUAGCACCACGCCCAGUGAGUGUCCGUGUGUAAUUCUCAAGCUCUCUACCCAACCAGGUGUGUAAUCCUGAAGCUGUAUGUAUCCAACCAGGUGUGUAAUCCAUCAAGGGUGUGUGUAGCCCACCAGGUGUGUAAUCCAUCAGGGGUGUGUGUAGUCCACCAGGUGUGUAGUCCAUCAGGUGUGUAAUCUAUCAAGGGUGUGUGUAGCCCACCAGGUGUGUAAUCCACCAAGGGUGUGUGUAGUCCACCAGGUGUGUAAUCCUCAAGCUGUGUGUAGCCCACCAGGUGUGUAAUCCAUCAAGGGUGUGUGUAGUCCACCAGGUGUGUAAUCCACAAGCUGUGUGUAGUCCACCAGGUGUGUAAUCCUCAAGCUGUGUGUAGCCCACCAGGUGUGUAAUCCAUCAAGGGUGCGUGUAGUCCACCAGGUGUGUAAUCUAUCAAGGGUGUGUGUAGUCCACCCGGUGUGUAAUCCACCAAGGGUGUGUGUAGCCCACCAGGUGUGUAAUCCACAAGCUGUGUGUUGCCCACCAGGUGUGUAAUCCAUCAAGGGUGUGUGUAGUCCACCAGGUGUGUAAUCCACAAGCUGUGUGAUCCUCAAGCUGUUUGUAGCCCACCAGGUGUGUAAUCCAUCAAGGGUGUGUGUAGUCCACCAGGUGUGUAAUCCACAAGCUGUGUGUAGUCCACCAGGUGUGUAAUCCAUCAAGGGUGUGUGUAGCCCACCAGGUGUGUAAUCCAUCAAGGGUGUGUGUAGUCCACCAGGUGUGUAAUCCACCAAGGGUGUGUGUAGUCCACCAGGUGUGUAAUCCUCAAGCUGUGUGUAGCCCACCAGGUGUGUAAUCCAUCAAGGGUGUGUAGUCCACCAGGUGUGUAAUCCACCAAGGGUGUGUGUAGUCCACCAGGUGUGUAAUCCUCAAGCUGUGUGUAGCCCACCAGGUGUGUAAUCCAUCAAGGGUGUGUGUAGUCCACCAGGUGUGUAAUCCACAAGCUGUGUGUAGUCCACCAGGUGUGUAAUCCUCAAGCUGUGUGUAGCCCACCAGGUGUGUAAUCCAUCAAGGGUGUGUGUAGUCCACCAGGUGUGUAAUCCACAAGCUGUGUGUAGUCCACCAGGUGUGUAAUCCACCAAGGGUGUGUGUAGUCCACCAGGUGUGUAAUCCUCAAGCUGUGUGUAGCCCACCAGGUGUGUAAUCCAUCAAGGGUGUGUGUAGUCCACCAGGUGUCUAAUCCAUCAAGGGUGUGUGUAAUCCACCAGGUGUGUAAUCCAUCAAGGGUGUGUGUAGUCCACCAGGUGUGUAAUCCAUCAGGGGUGUGUGUAGCCCACCAGGUGUGUAAUCCACCAGGGGUGUGUGUAGCCCACCAGAUGUGUAAUCCACAAGCUGUGUGUAGCCCACCAGGUGUGUAAUCCACCAAGGGUGUGUGUAGUCCACCAGGUGUGUAAUCCAUCAAGGGUGUGUAGUCCACCAGGUGUGUAAUCCAUCAAGGGUGUGUAGUCCACCAGGUGUGUAAUCCAUCAAGGGUGUGUGUAGUCCACCAGGUGUGUAAUCCAUCAGGGGUGUGUGUAGCCCACCAUGUGUGUAAUCCACCAGGGGUGUGUGUAGCCCACCAGGUGUGUAAUCCAUCAAGGGUGUGUGUAGUCCACCAGGUGUGUAAUCUAUCAGGGGUGUGUGUAGCCCACCAGGUGUGUAAUCCACCAGGGGUGUGUGUAGUCCACCAGGUGUGUAAUCCACCAGGGGUGUGUGUAGUCCACCAGGUGUGUAAUCCUCAAGCUGUGUGUAGCCCAGCAGGUGUGUGGGUAGCCCACCAGCCCAUCAGGGCGUGUGUGUGUACCGGCGCAUUCAAUCCAUGAGGAGCGUGCGAGAUGUGUCUCUAGUUGCGCAAGUGGAUGAAGCAGCAGGCGUUGUUGACUUUCGUUUGACUUUCGCGGCACACUCCACUGGAGACGAAUUGGUUCACUGAUUAUGAGACCCGAAUAUUUGUAAGGGUUUAGCGCGAGACCCAACGCAAAUGUAGAACUUCAGACUGACCUUGCCCUGAGUGAAACCAUUUACUGCUCUUGGUCGUAAUUCUUGAGUACCCCAAAAUUUAGUUUUACGAUUGUCUCGUUAUGAGCAGAGACUCACCAAUGGGUAUGUGUGCCACAUCUCAGUGAUGGCCUUUCUACAACACUCUUAAGAUUCACAUCACACACCCGGCUACGAACCAUGCCCCGGAACAAGGCUGACAUCAUCAGCACGCUAAUCGGGGUUUUAACCCUGGAUAGUGCUGGGUCAGGAGACCACCGUGCAUAACAGGUGCUAUAGGUUGCGGAGCCAACUUGUGAACCAGCAAAGGGCGGUGUAGCAACAUCCUCUGCUGGGCUGUGUUUCAAUGCUCCCACGUCGAUGCUACCCACCUUUGCCAACCCGCUCUGACCAGCGUGGUGAAUUAUGGUUAAAUACCCCCCCGCCACAGCCCCCGAGGACCAGCACGGAGUGAGGUAGGCUCUCAUCCAGCAGUAGAGAAAAGGCUGUUCACGAUAUGCGCACUCGAUGACCAGCCACAUAUGUUUAAUAUUCGCAAUCGCAACAUCCCUGGUGUGGAUGGGCACUACUUAAAUGACACGUUAUUUAAAUUACAUGUAAAUUAAUUGCAUUAGUAAUUCGAAAUUGUUAUGUAAAUUACGAAAAUCAAAGUCAUUGGUGAUUGUAUAUGCAUUACACGAGAUACGGUUAAUGUAAUUAUACUUCCUUCAGUAAUUUGUAAGGUCUAUGUAUUUUACCCAUCCUCUUAAAUGCAUCGAGAUAUGUAUGUAAUGCAUCCGAUAGGUUGUCCGCCGGGGAGAUGGAGCGAUGAAAUUAGUCCGUAUGCAGGUGCUUGGAUGGAUCAUGGAUUAUUGCAUCGCAGCAUCGCGAGUUUCUGGCGGCUUCGGCAGGCUUUCAUCCAUCGGUGGACUGACCAUGGCUGAUAGUGACGACGCAUUAUAUACGUAAGCUCGCUUGGCGAUUUAAGAAAUAAUGCUGUUACAGUAUUUAAUUGCUGCACUUUAUUUAUUUUGUUUUUUUUGCUUUUGUAAUGUUGGUGACCCAGGUCACUCUCGCAACUUGGACUCAUCCUGGUACCCGUGAGUCCUCGCCUGGUUACACAAAUAAACUUGAAACCUGAA